rnacentral:lncRNA from 10 species
UAAAAACAGGCGUUUCCCUGCACAAGCUCUCUUCUCUUGCCUGCUGCUGUGUGAGACGUGCCUUUCACCUUCCUCCAUGAUUAUGAGACCUCCCCAGCCAUGUAGAACUGCUCCACUGGCAGAGAGCAGAGAAGAGGAGAAAAGAAGAAACAGCUGAAUGUCGGAGAGAAGCAGAUUGAUUUCAGAGAGACGGCUUGAUGGCGUGACUUCAGAGUUCAGUCCAGCCAGAAAUGACUGUUCUUCACGGGAAGAAUACUUUCCCGCUCCCUCCCCUUUCCAACUCCCCUUCCCACUGAGUGCCACCUCCAUGGGCAAUAAAGUCCUCUGCAUUCACCACCCUUCAAU